rnacentral:misc_RNA from 1 species
ACAUGGAGAGUCAGGAGCCACAGUGAGAGGGAGACACAGAACUGCUCAUGGAGAGUCGGGAGACACCACCAGAUAUGGCCAGUCUAGCCAGGGACAAUCUACACGGUCAGGGUCCAGUCAGACAGGAAGAGGGGCAUCCAGUCAUAGUGAGGCUAGUGACCGUGAAAGGCAUUCAGAAGUCUCAGAGAGACACUCAGGAUCCACUCAUGGGCAGGCUGGAUCUCCACAUGGAGAGUCAGGAGCCACAGUGAGAGGGAGACACAGAACUGCUCAUGGAGAGUCGGGAGACACCACCAGAUAUGGCCAGUCUAGCCAGGGACAAUCUACACGGUCAGGGUCCAGUCAGACAGGAAGAGGGGCAUCCAGUCAUAGUGAGGCUAGUGACCGUGAAAGGCAUUCAGAAGUCUCAGAGAGACACUCAGGAUCCACUCAUGGGCAGGCUGGAUCUCC